AGCGAACGCUGGCGGCAGGCCUAAUACAUGCAAGUCGAACGGCUCUUCGGAGCAGUGGCGGACGGGUGAGUAACGCGUGGGAAUGUGCCCUUUGGUACGGAACAACACAGGGAAACUUGUGCUAAUACCGUAUGUGCCCUUCGGGGGAAAGAUUUAUCGCCAUUGGAGCAGCCCGCGUUGGAUUAGGUAGUUGGUGAGGUAAAGGCUCACCAAGCCUACGAUCCAUAGCUGGUCUGAGAGGAUGACCAGCCACACUGGGACUGAGACACGGCCCAGACUCCUACGGGAGGCAGCAGUAGGGAAUCUUGCGCAAUGGGCGAAAGCCUGACGCAGCCAUGCCGCGUGUAUGAUGAAGGUCUUAGGAUUGUAAAAUACUUUCACCGGGGAAGAUAAUGACGGUACCCGGAGAAGAAGCCCCGGCUAACUUCGUGCCAGCAGCCG
rnacentral:rRNA from 1 species